AUGGUAUUUCUGCUUUUCACCCUCGCCUGCCCAGAAAAACCUGGACUGAUAUUUGGCGAUCUCCUGAUGGAGAGUCUCAUGAAGGCUGUAGAAGCUCAUGAGAAACCAAAGGAGGCUGGCAAGCGAGGAGUUGAUGAGGAUCACCCUGGCCGCCUUCGAGAGCCACCUCCCCUUCCAAGGCUCCACCCGGUGCUGCAUCCGAGUCACUGCCGGGCACAGGACAGCUACGGUGAGUCGCGAGUCACUAAUGGGUAUCCCCAAAUAAGUCGUGGGGAAAGUACCCAACCGACAGUUCAGACGGUCGGCCAUGGCUUGGGCCUCCUCACGGGAGUAGCCCAGAAUCAUCACUUCGCUCUUAUCAAAGUUGAUGGUGAGCCCGGACAUCUGUUGGAAGGAUGGGAGGAGGAACUUCAGGUUGGCUAUGUCGGACACGGAGCCCUCCACCAUUAUUAUGGUAUCGUCUGCAUAUUGUAG
rnacentral:rRNA from 1 species